CACGCCCGUCGAGGCGGGACGGGCCGCCCGGGAGAGCCGCGCUCUACCCGCUGCCCGUCACUGAGGGACGGCGCAGUACCUGCCAGGCUCCGCGGCGAGCGCUUUCAAUGAUUUCAGUGUUGGUUCAGCCACUUUGCUUGCUCAGAGGGCUAAAAGGUCUCAUCUGCUGUUCAAAGACGUGUGUGAAAUUUCCUGCACGAUGCAGUGUGAAACAAGCAGGGAGAGAAUAAACAGGGGAGCCAGAUGAGAGCAUGGUGCCACAGCAGCUGUGUCUGCUGGAAGUAUCAUCCCAGAAACUUAGUGGCGCAUGCUAUCCAGAAGACUUUGUACUCUUUAGCAGCAUGAAGCUCUUUCCUUUUGAUGAAGAAUGCUGUGUGGGGUAUGGUUGAGCUACAUGAGAUUUCAAGACAUGUGAAAUCUUAAAGGCAGAAAUGAAGGCCUUGAAUAUGCACUUUGAUAGCAUUAAAAGCGUGAAACCAUUUGCGCAUAAUACUAUUCUUCCCUCGUCCUUCUUUUCCCAGUUUUGAAUUGCAAGACAGCCAAGAAAGCACUCCCAAGAGCUCUCCACAAAGUCUGAAUCAUUCACAAACCUGUUUUAACUUCUUUAACAGAUUUAAAAUAACUUCUGAGACUAUGCAUGUGCCAAUGAACACAUUGCAGUUGUUCAUGCAAUGUGUUUUUAAAACAAAACAAAACAGGUUAUCUUUUUUUAACUUUGCAUGUACAUCCUACGUAUUUCAGGAAGAAAGAUCAAGAAAGCAGUACCGUGGUGGUUUUAUAUGGGAAAUGGCAUUAGAAUACUAGUAUUUAGCUUCCUGCAGCGGUAAAUACUAAGAGAACUGUAAACAGAAAAUGGGGAGUUUAUUAUAGACAGGAUACUAAUUAGACACUCCAUACUGGUUUAAGGUUAAGUUUUCACUGUGAGGGGAAUUGGAUUCCUUAAGGGAUCAAAGGUCUGCUGAAUGCUUGAAUUCUAAUAAACAGCUUCCACUUUAGAGUGAUCGGCUAUUUGAGAAUUAAUCUUUUCCUUGCAGAGAACUAUCCAAAGUGCUUUCCACUUAAACUCUGUUGUAUAAAUAUUUGCAUU